CUGGCAAAGAGAUUUGCAGAGUGUCGGGUGACCGGCAAAGAGAUCUGCAAAGUGUCAGCUGAAGACGACGGGAGGGGUCACAGAGACAGCAAGGACUGGAGGACAACAUGCAGGAGAUCAUCAUCUGGCAAAAUUCUGGCAAAGAGAUUUGCAGAGUGUCGGGUGACCGACAAAGAUAUCUGCAAAGUGUCAGUUGAAGACGACGGGAGGGGUCGCUGAGGCAGUAAGGACUGGAGGAUAACAUGCAGGAGUCUACACAGCAGUUGACCUUUGGCAAGUAUAGGCAGGUAUACGUCAGUAUAGUAUCCCUCCCAUUACCUAUAGCUCCCUAACACUCUCUCUUCCCUCUCUCCCUAACACUCUUGCUCCUCUCUCUCUCCCUAACACUCUCUCUCCUAUCUCCCUAACACUCUCUCUCCUAUCUCCCUAACACUCUCGCUCCUCUCUCACUCUACCUAACACUCUCUCCACUCUCUCUCCCCAACACUCUCUCUCCUCUCACUCUACCUAACACUCUCUCCACUCUCUCUCCCCAACACUCUCUCCCCAACACUCUCUCCUCUCUCUCUCUCUCUCCCUAACACUCUCUCCUCUCUAUCUCCCUAACACUCUCUCCUCUCUCUCUCUCUCUCUCUCUCUCUCUAACACUCCCCUCUCUCUCUCUCUCUCUCUCUCUCUCUCUAACACACUCUCUCCCUAACACACUCUCUCUCUUAUUAACACUCUCUCCUCUCUUAGGGGGUCAUUCUGACCCGAUCGCACACUGCAGUUUUUCGCAGCGGUGCGAUCGGGUCAGAAAUGCGCAUGUGCCGGCGCCACAGUGCGCCGGCGCAUGGCCGCCCGUCGCUGCACUACGAUCGCCUCUGCCUGAUUGACAGGCAGAGGUGGUCAAUGGGCGGGAGGAGGCGAAACGGCGGUGUUUGGCUGCCGUUUCGUGGGCGCAGUCCGGCCAACGCAGGCAUGGCCUGACCGUGCGGGGAGUGGCCCGCAGCAGCUGC